rnacentral:rRNA from 1 species
CAGCAGCCGCGGUAAUACGUAGGGUGCGUGCGUUAAUCGGAAUUACUGGGCGUAAAGCGUGCGCAGGCGGUUUUGUAAGACAGGCGUGAAAUCCCCGGGCUCAACCUGGGAAUGGCGCUUGUGACUGCAAAGCUAGAGUGCGGCAGAGGGGGAUGGAAUUCUGCGUGUAGCAGUGAAAUGCGUAGAUAUGCGGAGGAACACCGAUGGCGAAGGCAAUCCCCUGGGCCUGCACUGACGCCCAUGCACGAAAGCGUGGGGAGCAAACAGGAUUAGAUACCCCCGUAGUCCCUGUCUCUUAUAC